GACAGAGGGUGCAAACGUUGUUCGGAUUUACUGGGCGUAAAGCGCGUGUAGGCGGCAUGGCAAGUGGGAUGUGAAAUCCCUGGGCUCAACCUAGGAAGUGCAUUCCAAACUGCCAAGCUUGAGUAUCGGAGAGGAAAGCGGAAUUCUCGGUGUAGAGGUGAAAUUCGUAGAUAUCGAGAGGAACACCAGUGGCGAAGGCGGCUUUCUGGACGAUUACUGACGCUAAGACGCGAAAGCGUGGGGAGCAAACAGG
rnacentral:rRNA from 1 species